rnacentral:rRNA from 1 species
CCUACGGGAGGCGCAGUGAGGAAUAUUGGUCAAUGGACGAGAGUCUGAACCAGCCAAGUAGCGUGAAGGAUGACUGCCCUAUGGGUUGUAAACUUCUUUUAUAUGGGAAUAAAACGUUCCACGUGUGGGGUUUUGUAUGUACCAUAUGAAUAAGGAUCGGCUAACUCCGUGCCAGCAGCCGCGGUAAUACGGAGGAUCCGAGCGUUAUCCGGAUUUAUUGGGUUUAAAGGGAGCGUAGGUGGGUUGUUAAGUCAGUUGUGAAAGUUUGCGGCGCAACCGUAAAAUUGCAGUUGAAACGGGCAGUCUUGAGUACAGUAGAGGUGGGCGGAAUGCGUGGUGUAGCGGUGAAAUGCUUAGAUAUCACGAAGAACUCCGAUUGCGAAGGCAGUUCACUGGACUGCAACUGACACUGAGGCUCGAAAGUGUGGGUAUCAAACAGGAUUAGAUACCCCAGUAGUC